rnacentral:rRNA from 1 species
GUGUCAGCCGCCGCGGUAAUACGUAGGGUGCGAGCGUUAAUCGGAAUUACUGGGCGUAAAGCGUGCGCAGGCGGUGAUGUAAGACAGAUGUGAAAUCCCCGGGCUCAACCUGGGAACUGCAUUUGUGACUGCAUCGCUGGAGUGCGGCAGAGGGGGAUGGAAUUCCGCGUGUAGCAGUGAAAUGCGUAGAUAUGCGGAGGAACACCGAUGGCGAAGGCAAUCCCCUGGGCCUGCACUGACGCUCAUGCACAAAAGCGUGGGGAGCAAACAGGAUUAGAUACCCUAGUAGUCC